UACGUAGGGCGCAAGCGUUAUCCGGAAUCAUUGGGCGUAAAGAGCGUGUAGGCGGUCCGGUAAGUCCGCUGUGAAAGUCGGGGGCUCAACCCUCGAAUGCCGGUGGAUACUGUCGGGCUAGAGUGCGGAAGAGGCGAGUGGAAUUCCUGGUGUAGCGGUGAAAUGCGCAGAUAUCAGGAGGAACACCAAUUGCGAAGGCAGCUCGCUGGGACGUAACUGACGCUGAGACGCGAAAGCGUGGGGAGCAAACAGG
rnacentral:rRNA from 1 species